rnacentral:rRNA from 1 species
GGGACACGUGGUAUCCUGUCUGAAUAUGGGGGGACCAUCCUCCAAGGCUAAAUACUCCUGACUGACCGAUAGUGAACCAGUACCGUGAGGGAAAGGCGAAAAGAACCCCGGCGAGGGGAGUGAAAAAGAACCUGAAACCGUGUACGUACAAGCAGUGGGAGCACCCUUUUGGGUGUGACUGCGUACCUUUUGUAUAAUGGGUCAGCGACUUAUAUUCUGUAGCAAGGUUAACCGAAUAGGGGAGCCGGAGGGAAACCGAGUCUUAAUUGGGCGUUAAGUUGCAGGGUAUAGACCCGAAACCCGGUGAUCUAGCCAUGGGCAGGUUGAAGGUUGGGUAACACUAACUGGAGGACCGAACCGACUAAUGUUGAAAAAUUAGCGGAUGACCUGUGGCUGGGGGUGAAAGGCCAAUCAAACCGGGAGAUAGCUGGUUCUCCCCGAAAGCUAUUUAGGUAGCGCCUCGUGAACUCAUCUCCGGGGGUAGAGCACUGUUUCGGCUAGGGGGCCAUCCCGGCUUACCAACCCGAUGCAAACUGCGAAUACCGGAGAAUGUUAUCACGGGAGACACACGGCGGGUGCUAACGUCCGUCGUGAAGAGGGAAACAACCCAGACCGCCAGCUAAGGUCCCAAAGUCAUGGUUAAGUGGGAAACGAUGUGGGAAGGCCCAGACAGCCAGGAUGUUGGCUUAGAAGCAGCCAUCAUUUAAAGAAAGCGUAAUAGCUCACUGGUCGAGUCGGCCUGCGCGGAAGAUGUAACGGGGCUAAACCAUGCACCGAAGCUGCGGCAGCGACGCUCAGGCGUUGUUGGGUAGGGGAGCGUUCUGUAAGCCUGUGAAGGUGGCCUGUGAGGGUUGCUGGAGGUAUCAGAAGUGCGAAUGCUGACAUAAGUAACGAUAAAGCGGGUGAAAAGCCCGCUCGCCGGAAGACCAAGGGUUCCUGUCCAACGUUAAUCGGGGCAGGGUGAGUCGACCCCUAAGGCGAGGCCGAAAGGCGUAGUCGAUGGGAAACGGGUUAAUAUUCCCGUACUUGGUGUUACUGCGAAGGGGGGACGGAGAAGGCUAUGUUGGCCGGGCGACGGUUGUCCCGGUUUAAGCGUGUAGGUGUGUGUUCCAGGUAAAUCCGGUUCACUUUAACACUGAGGCGUGACGACGAGGCACUACGGUGCUGAAGCAACAAAUGCCCUGCUUCCAGGAAAAGCCUCUAAGCAUCAGGUAACAUCAAAUCGUACCCCAAACCGACACAGGUGGUCAGGUAGAGAAUACCAAGGCGCUUGAGAGAACUCGGGUGAAGGAACUAGGCAAAAUGGUGCCGUAACUUCGGGAGAAGGCACGCUGACACGUAGGUGAAGUGAUUUACUCAUGGAGCUGAAGUCAGUCGAAGAUACCAGCUGGCUGCAACUGUUUAUUAAAAACACAGCACUGUGCAAACACGAAAGUGGACGUAUACGGUGUGACGCCUGCCCGGUGCCGGAAGGUUAAUUGAUGGGGUCAGCGCAAGCGAAGCUCCUGAUCGAAGCCCCGGUAAACGGCGGCCGUAACUAUAACGGUCCUAAGGUAGCGAAAUUCCUUGUCGGGUAAGUUCCGACCUGCACGAAUGGCGUAAUGAUGGCCAGGCUGUCUCCACCCGAGACUCAGUGAAAUUGAACUCGCUGUGAAGAUGCAGUGUACCCGCGGCAAGACGGAAAGACCCCGUGAACCUUUACUAUAGCUUGACACUGAACAUUGAGCCUUGAUGUGUAGGAUAGGUGGGAGGCUUUGAAGCGUGGACGCCAGUCUGCGUGGAGCCGACCUUGAAAUACCACCCUUUAAUGUUUGAUGUUCUAACGUGGACCCGUUACCCGGGUUGCGGACAGUGUCUGGUGGGUAGUUUGACUGGGGCGGUCUCCUCCUAAAGAGUAACGGAGGAGCACGAAGGUUGGCUAAUCCUGGUCGGACAUCAGGAGGUUAGUGCAAUGGCAUAAGCCAGCUUGACUGCGAGCGUGACGGCGCGAGCAGGUGCGAAAGCAGGUCAUAGUGAUCCGGUGGUUCUGAAUGGAAGGGCCAUCGCUCAACGGAUAAAAGGUACUCCGGGGAUAACAGGCUGAUACCGCCCAAGAGUUCAUAUCGACGGCGGUGUUUGGCACCUCGAUGUCGGCUCAUCACAUCCUGGGGCUGAAGUAGGUCCCAAGGGUAUGGCUGUUCGCCAUUUAAAGUGGUACGCGAGCUGGGUUUAGAACGUCGUGAGACAGUUCGGUCCCUAUCUGCCGUGGGCGCUGGAGAACUGAGGGGGGCUGCUCCUAGUACGAGAGGACCGGAGUGGACGCAUCACUGGUGUUCGGGUUGUCAUGCCAAUGGCACUGCCCGGUAGCUAAAUGCGGAAGAGAUAAGUGCUGAAAGCAUCUAAGCACGAAACUUGCCCCGAGAUGAGUUCUCCCUGAGACUUAGAGUCUCCUGAAGGAACGUUGAAGACGACGACGUUGAUAGGCCGGGUGUGUAAGCGCAGCGAUGCGUUGAGCUAACCGGUACUAAUGAACCGUGAGGCUUAACCUUACAACGCCGAAGCUGUU